CCUACGGGUGGCAGCAGUGGGGAAUAUUGGACAAUGGGCGAAAGCCUGAUCCAGCAAUGCCGCGUGAGUGAUGAAGGCCUUAGGGUUGUAAAGCUCUUUUACCCGGGAAGAUAAUGACUGUACCGGGAGAAUAAGCCCCGGCUAACUCCGUGCCAGCAGCCGCGGUAAUACGGAGGGGGCUAGCGUUGUUCGGAAUUACUGGGCGUAAAGCGCGCGUAGGCGGCUAUUCAAGUCAGAGGUGAAAGCCUGGAGCUUAACUCCAGAACUGCCUUUGAAACUAGAUAGCUAGAAUCAUGGAGAGGUGAGUGGAAUUCCGAGUGUAGAGGUGAAAUUCGUAGAUAUUCGGAAGAACACCAGUGGCGAAGGCGGCUCACUGGACAUGUAUUGACGCUGAGGUGCGAAAGCGUGGGGAGCAAACAGGAUUAGAUACCCGGGUAGUCCAG
rnacentral:rRNA from 1 species